rnacentral:lncRNA from 1 species
UUUUUUGCAGGUUUCAGAUUUCUCUUUCUUUUAUCACAGUGUCUUAAUAAAAAAAAAAAGAGAUAUUUUAGAAUAUCUCACAUGUUUAUAGUUUUAUCAACUUUGAUUCACUUAUCUCAAUCUCUCUCUUCUCUCUCUACCGUGCCAUGCUCAAGUAUCGAACCCAUCAAACGAUGCACAUAACUGUGACUUCGCCUGACCAGGAGAGCUAC